rnacentral:rRNA from 1 species
AGUGGAAGCGUCUGGAAAGGCGCGCGAUACAGGGUGACAGCCCCGUACACAAAAGCGCAUGUGCUGUGAGCUCGAUGAGUAGGGCGGGACACGUGGUAUCCUGUCUGAAUAUGGGGGGACCAUCCUCCAAGGCUAAAUACUCCUGACUGACCGAUAGUGAACCAGUACCGUGAGGGAAAGGCGAAAAGAACCCCGGCGAGGGGAGUGAAAAAGAACCUGAAACCGUGUACGUACAAGCAGUGGGAGCACAGGUUUACCUGUGUGACUGCGUACCUUUUGUAUAAUGGGUCAGCGACUUAUAUUCUGUAGCAAGGUUAACCGYAUAGGGGAGCCGUAGGGAAACCGAGUCUUAACCGGGCGUUAAGUUGCAGGGUAUAGACCCGAAACCCGGUGAUCUAGCCAUGGGCAGGUUGAAGGUUGGGUAACACUAACUGGAGGACCGAACCGACUAAUGUUGAAAAAUUAGCGGAUGACCUGUGGCUGGGGGUGAAAGGCCAAUCAAACCGGGAGAUAGCUGGUUCUCCCCGAAAGCUAUUUAGGUAGCGCCUCGUGAAUUCAUCUCCGGGGGUAG